AGUGAACGCUGGCGGUAGGCCUAACACAUGCAAGUCGAACGGCAGCACAGUAAGAGCUUGCUCUUACGGGUGGCGAGUGGCGGACGGGUGAGGAAUACAUCGGACUCUACUCUUUCGUGGGGGAUAACGUAGGGAAACUUACGCUAAUACAGCAUACGACCUACGGGUGAAAGCAGUGGAUCUUCGGACCUUGCGCGAAUGAAUGAGCCGAUGUCGGAUUAGCUAGUUGGCGGGGUAAAGGCCCACCAAGGCGACGAUCCGUAGCUGGUGUGAGAGGAUGAUCCGCCACACUGGAACUGAGACACGGUCCAGACUCCUACGGGAGGCAGCAGUGGGGAAUAUUGGACAAUGGGCGCAAGCCUGAUCCAGCCAUACCGCGUGGGUGAAGAAGGCCUUCGGGUUGUAAAGCCCUUUUGUUGGGAAAGAAAAGCAGCAGGUUAAUACCCCGCUGUUCUGACGGUACCCAAAGAAUAAGCACCGGCUAACUUCGUG
rnacentral:rRNA from 1 species